rnacentral:rRNA from 1 species
AUUGAACGCUGGCGGCAGGCUUAACACAUGCAAGUCGAGCGAGUGGCGGACGGGUGAGUAAUGUCUGGGAAACUGACUGAUGGAGGGGGAUCACUACUGGAAACGGUAGCUAAUACCGCAUACCAUCUGAUGUGCCCAGAUGGGAUUAGCUAGUAGGUGUGGUAAAGGCUCACCUAGGCGACGAUCCCUAGCUGGUCUGAGAGGAUGACCAGCCACACGGGAACUGAGACACGGUCCAGACUCCUACGGGAGGCAGCAGUGGUGAAUAUUGCACAAUGGGCGCAAGUCUGAUGCAGCCAUGCCGCGUGUAUGAAGAAGGCCUUCGGGUUGUAAAGUACUUUCAGCGGGGAGGCGUUACCCGCAGAAGAAGCAACGGCUAACUCCGUGCCAGCAGCCGCGGUAAUAC